ensembl:lncRNA
UAGGGCAGAUGUUAAGUCAAGGUUGGGGUUAAGGUGGUUAGGGCAGAGGUUAAGUCAAGGUUAGGGUUAAGGUGGUUAGGGUAGAGAUUAAGUCAAGGUUAGGGUUAAGGUGGUUGGGGUAGAGGUUAAGUCAUGGUUACAGUUAAGGGUGUUAGGGUAUAGGUUAAGUCAGGGUUGGGGUUAAGGUGGUUAGGGCAGAGGUUAAGUCAAGGUUAGGGUUAAGGUGGUUAGGGUAGAGAUUAAGUCAAGGUUAGGGUUAAGGUGGUUGGGGUAGAGGUUAAGUCAUGGUUACAGUUAAGGGUGUUAGGGUAUAGGUUAAGUCAGGGUUGGGGGGGUUAAGGGUAGAGGUCAAGUCAAGGUAUGUGUUAAGGGGGUUAGGGUAGAGGUUAAGUCAAGGUAAGGGUUAAGGGGGGGUUAGGGUAGAGGUUAAGUUAGGGUUAGGGUUAAGGAGGUUAGGGUCGAGGUUAAAUCAGGGUUACGGUUGGGGGGGUAGGGUAGAGGUUAAGUCAGGAUUAGGGAUGUUGUGUUCCUCAACUCUACUUAAAGAGCGAUUCUGACAACAAGCCCAAUCAUCAUUACAGAGUUUAAUUUGCUGAAACGUUUUCA